rnacentral:rRNA from 1 species
CGAAGCGUGCGAUUGGAUUGCACGUCUAAGCAGUAAGGCUGAGUAUUAGGCAAAUCCGGUACUCAUUAAGGCUGAGCUGUGAUGGGGAGAAGACAUUGUGUCUUCGAGUCGUUGAUUUCACACUGCCGAGAAAAGCCUCUAGAUAGAAAAUAGGUGCCCGUACCGCAAACCGACACAGGUAGUCAAGAUGAGAAUUCUAAGGUGAGCGAGCGAACUCUCGUUAAGGAACUCGGCAAAAUGACCCCGUAACUUCGGGAGAAGGGGUGCUCUUUAGGGUUAACGCCCAGAAGAGCCGCAGUGAAUAGGCCCAAGCGACUGUUUAUCAA